UACGUAGGGAGCGAGCGUUGUCCGGAAUUAUUGGGCGUAAAGGGCGUGUAGGCGGCUGGAUAAGUGGGAUGUUAAAUCCCCCGGCUCAACCGGGGACCUGCAUCUCAUACUGUUCAGCUCGAGCACAUCAGAGGAGACUGGAAUUCCCGGUGUAGCGGUGAAAUUCGUAGAUAUGGGGGAGGAACACCGGUGGCGAAGGCGGCCACCUGGGACGGUAACUGGACGCUGAGACGCGAAAGCUGGGGAGCAAACAGG
rnacentral:rRNA from 1 species